rnacentral:rRNA from 1 species
CAAUAGCGUAUAUUAAAGUUGUUGCAGUUAAAAAGCUCGUAGUUGGAUUUCUGGAUGGAGCGACCGGUCGGGCAUUAAUCUGUCUGCACUGGAGUCGGUUCCGUCCAUCCUCUUGGAAAGUGCGUCGGGCAUUAAGUUGUUUGGCGUAUGAUCCAAGUCGUUUACUGUGAAAAAAUUAGAGUGUUUAAAGCAGGCCUUCGCCUUGAAUACAUUAGCAUGGAAUAAUAAGAUAGGACUUUGGUCUAUUUUGUUGGUUUGCAGACCGAAGUAAUGAUUAAUAGGGAUAGUUGGGGGUAUUUAUAUUCCGAUGUCAGAGGUGAAAUUCUUAGAUUUUCGGAAGAUAAACUUAUGCGAAAGCAUUUACCAAGGAUGUUUUCAUUAA